UACAGAGGAUGCAAGCGUUAUCCGGAAUGAUUGGGCGUAAAGCGUCUGUAGGUGGCUUUUUAAGUCCGCCGUCAAAUCCCAGGGCUCAACUCUGGACAGGCGGUGGAAACUACCAAGCUGGAGUACGGUAGGGGCAGAGGGAAUUUCCGGUGGAGCGGUGAAAUGCGUAGAGAUCGGGAAGAACACCAACGGCGAAAGCACUCUGCUGGGCCGACACUGACACUGAGGAGCGAAAGCCAGGGGAGCAAACGGG
rnacentral:rRNA from 1 species